CGUUUUAAAAGACGCCAUCAAAAAGGUUAGAUUAUUAACGAAGAAAAAGUUAUAGCAAGCACAUUGUGAACACCAAAACGCGCCCAUAAAAAAUUAAUUAAAAAGUGUGAAUUACAAAAAAAUUAAAAGUUACAAACAAUUUUAAAGGAAAAGGAAGUCUCACAAUGUUUUCUCUGGUGAAAUUUUUCAACGAGGACCUAUGGGUCGUAAAUCAAAAUCUGUUAGGCAAAACAAUGGACAAAAUUGCACCGUUAAAUAUAAAGGCUGUUCCUACUCGGCUAUAUUAAUCCUUGCAAGUGAUGACAUGGAAUAUCUACACAAAAUAAAAAAAGGAGAAGUAAUUGCAUCUAAAGAAGUUGAACAAAUUUGUACAACAACCUAUGCAACAAGGGAUGAGUUCGUUGAAGGAGCACAAAUAAAUGAUGACAAGUCUGCUUUGAGGAAAACAAGAUGUUAUUCCCCAUCUACAAUGUCGGCCAUAAGAGAAUCCAUUGAGAA